UACGGAGGGUGCAAGCGUUAUCCGGAUUUACUGGGCUUAAAGGGUGCGUAGGCGGACUUUUAAGUCAGGGGUGAAAUCCCGGGGCUCAACCCCGGAACUGCCUUUGAUACUAUUGGUCUUGAAUGUUGUGGAGGUGGGCGGAACGGGUCAUGUAGCGGUGAAAUGCAUAGAUAUGACCCGGAACACCGACUGCGAAGGCAGCCCGCUACGCAACGAUUGACGCUGAGGCACGAAAGCGUGGGGAUCAAACAGG
rnacentral:rRNA from 1 species